UUUCCGUAGGUGAACCUGCGGAAGGAUCAUUAUCGUAUAAAAUGUGAGGGGCAUGCGAGGGCUGUCGCUGACCCAAAAGUCGUGCACGCCCGAGUGUGUCCUCUUGCAUAAUAAUCCAUCUCACCCUUUGUGCAUCACCGCGUGGGCACCCUUCGGGCUCAUCUCGGAGAGGGUCUCGCGUCUACACACACACCUCCCUUUUAAAAGUGCAGAAUUCCCACACUUAUGCACUCAAUACAACUUUCAAUAACGGAUCUCUUGGCUGUCGCAUCUAAUAAA
rnacentral:misc_RNA from 1 species